GAUGAACGCUGGCGGCGUGCCUAAUACAUGCAAGUCGAGCGAACAGACGAGUAGCUUGCUCCUCGGACGUUAGCGGCGGACGGGUGAGUAACACGUGGAUAACCUACCUAUGAGACUGGGAUAACUUCGGGAAACCGGAGCUAAUACCGGAUAAUAUAUUGAAGCGCAUGGUUCAAUAGUGAAAGACGGUUUUGCUGUCACUUAUAGAUGGAUCCGCGCCGCAUUAGCUAGUUGGUAAGGUAACGGCUUACCAAGGCAACGAUGCGUAGCCGACCUGAGAGGGUGACCGGCCACACUGGCACUGAGAGACGGUCCAGACUCUUACGGGAGGCAGCAGUAGGGAAUCUUCCGAAAUGGGCGAAAGCCUGACGGAGCAACGCCGCGUGAGUGAUGAAGGUCUUCGGAUCGUAAAACUCUGUUAUUAGGGAAGAACAAAUGUGUAAGUAACUAUGCACGUCUUGACGGUACCUAAUCAGAAAGCAACGGCUAACUACGUG
rnacentral:rRNA from 1 species